rnacentral:rRNA from 1 species
GACGGAGGGGGCAAGCGUUGUUCGGAUUUAUUGGGCGUAAAGGGCUCGUAGGCGGACUGGUAAGUCUGGCGUGAAAUCUCCACCACUCAACGGGGAGGGGCCGUCGGAAACUGCCAGUCUGGAGUAUGGUAGAGGACCAUGGAAUUCCAGGUGUAGCGGUGGAGUGCGUAGAGAUCUGGAAGAACACCGGUGGCGAAGGCGGUGGUCUGGGCCAUUACUGACGCUGAGGUGCGAAAGCGUGGGGAGCAAACAGG